AUCGUUCAAUCUGUUUUUAACAGAUCGGAAGUAAGCUAAAGCUGAAGGAACGCGGA
ncrna:unclassified sequences Glutamine riboswitch